rnacentral:rRNA from 1 species
AUUGAACGCUGGCGGCAGGCCUAACACAUGCAAGUCGAACGGUAACAGGAAGAAGCUUGCUUCUUUGCUGACGAGUGGCGGACGGGUGAGUAAUGUCUGGGAAACUGCCUGAUGGAGGGGGAUAACUACUGGAAACGGUAGCUAAUACCGCAUAACGUCGCAAGACCAAAGAGGGGGACCUUCGGGCCUCUUGCCAUCGGAUGUGCCCAGAUGGGAUUAGCUAGUAGGUGGGGUAACGGCUCACCUAGGCGACGAUCCCUAGCUGGUCUGAGAGGAUGACCAGCCACACUGGAACUGAGACACGGUCCAGACUCCUACGGGGGGCAGCAGUGGGGAAUAUUGCACAAUGGGCGCAAGCCUGAUGCAGCCAUGCCGCGUGUAUGAAGAAGGCCUUCGGGUUGUAAAGUACUUUCAGCGGGGAGGAAGGGAGUAAAGUUAAUACCUUUGCUCAUUGACGUUACCCGCAGAAGAAGCACCGGCUAACUCCGUGCCAGCAGCCGCGGUAAUACGGAGGGUGCAAGCGUUAAUCGGGAAUUACUGGGCGUAAAGCGCACGCAGGCGGUUUGUUAAGUCAGAUGUGAAAUCCCCGGGCUCAACCUGGGAACUGCAUCUGAUACUGGCAAGCUUGAGUCUCGUAUAGGGGGGGUAGAAUUCCAGGUGUAACGGUGAAAUGCGUAAAGAUCUGGGAGGAAACCGGUGGGAAGGGGGCCCCCUGGACGAAAACUGGCGCUCAGGUGCGAAGCGUGGGGGGAAACAGGAGUAGAUCCCCUGGUGGUCCA